rnacentral:antisense_RNA from 1 species
GCGCGGGGCUCCUGCGCACCUCCGGCCGGCCUGGCAGACCCGGCGCGCCGAAGCCGGACGAGGGAGACCUCCACCUCCGGCCACCGGCCAGAGGCGCGCCCCCAGCGGCCAGGGCCGCGGGAAAGUCCGCGCGGCGUGCUUCAUUCACGCAUUCACAUUCAUUCAUUUACUCAUUCACUCACUCAUUCAUCGCGGGGCCCCGGAGCAGCCCAGGAGAAGGUGGCAGCACCGCCCUGCAGCAGCUCCGGGGGCACGCCCACCCGGGCCUCCGAGGUGCCUGUGGUCGACACUUGUCCCGGCAGCUACCAAGUGACCUUUCUUAUUUUUGAGACCACGUGUUGCAAUUUUUGGUUCAGGAAAUAGAGUCAUUGUUACUCUGGGGAGGUACAAAAGAAAGAAAUGAUGUUGUCCCUGCCCCCAAGCGCAUCACUAGGGAGAAAGGACUAUCUCAUAAAAAGGAAACUUAAUCAAAUGCUAAAUUGGGCGAUGUGGGCUAUAAAUUAACCAGAGCUAUCCCCACAGGCUCCGUGAGAAAGGCAGCACUUCCAAGGCGGGUAGGAUGAGCCCUGAGAAAGGGACGCCUUACAAAGGUGCAAGCCGCAGAGACGCAGGAGCCAGGGGUAGGAGGUUGUCCUGGGAGACAGCGCGGGACCCUGCAUCACCUUGUUUCGAUGGAGUCCUGCGAUGAGGAGGAAGGGAAAUUGGGAGACACCCUACCCACUUCCCAGGCCACCACUGAAGCUGGGGAGCUUUGCUACAGGGAGGAAGCCAUGUGGAACCUAAACUAAGACACUGGAUACUGAAAAUGGUUUGACAAAGCAGACCCUCACUCAAGGCUUCACGUUGGAAUCUAUCUUCCCACCUGUUUCAGAGUCACAGGGUCUCCAUACCUCUGAAAAAGUUUGCUGACCGCUGGUGACCGUUCAUCACACAGUGGCGUUAUGGUGAAAACUGGAGUUUUCACCUGUGGUCAGUUAUGAUGGGUGCAGCCAGAGAGCAAGGCAUUGGGUGGUGCUUCCUGAGUGGGAGACAAUGAUAAUGAUCAUGAUUAUGCAGAAGGGUGGUGCCUUCUUAUGUUGGAGCUGAACACUCAGAAGAAAGGAAACGGUGGGCUUGGGAGAGUUCAUUGCCAACCUAAGACAAACUUUGAAUGCCCAAGGGCCUCACUGGCAGCUCAGGAGAUUUACAUCUCCUACAGCCACUGGGAAGGAGAAAUCACUGUUGCAAAUCGGCCAGGCACAGUGGCUCACGCCUGUAAUCCCAGCACUUUGGGAGGUCAAGGCAGGGGGAUUACCUGAGGUCAGGAGUUCGAGACCAGCCUGGCCAACAUAGUGAAAAUUAAAAAUUAGCCAUCUCUACUAAAAAUACAAAAAUUAGCCGGCCGUGGCAGCGUGCGCCUAUAAUCCCAGCUACUCGGGAGGCUGAGGCAGGAGAAUCGCUUGAACGCGGGAGGCAGAGGUUGCAGUGAGCGAAAAAGAAAAAAGAAAAUCAGACCUCGAGGCUGGGCGCAGUGGCUCACAUCUGUAAUCCCAGCACUUUGGGAGGCCGAUGGGGGCAGAUCACUUGAGGUCAGGAGUUCGAGACCAGCCUGGCUAACAUGGGCAAAAUCCCCCUCUCUACUAAAAAUACAAAAGCUAGCCAGGCGUGGUAGUGCGUGCUUGUAAUCCCAGCUACUCGGGACGCUGAGGCAGGAGAAUCGCUUGAACCCAGGGGGCGGAGGUUGCAGUGAGUCGAGAUCACGCCACUGCACUCCAGCCUCGGCAACAAAGUGAGACUCCGUCUCAAAAAAAAAGAAAAAAAAGAAAAGAAGACCUCAAAUUUGAUAAGGGUUGAAGGCUACAAAGGAGACUAAAGUCACAGCCUUGACAGGCCUGCUGCAUCAGUCAGGAGCCAGAUAGUGAAUGGUCCUGAGACCAUGGCUAUGGACAAUUGAGUAGAUAAGCUGAGAAUCUCAAACCCCCAAAUUCUCAGAAGCCUCCAAGCCAACAGAAGCAAUUACUUCCUCCUUGCCGGAGAACAGGUUGUUCUUACGGAAUACCUUACCUGUGGUAGGUGUCCUGCAAGUUGUUUGUUCUCAAGACCUGCCCUCACCACUGCUCCUUGAUGCCAACAUCCGGGGCAGGCUUCACCAUAGCUAGAGCAGAGAGGCAUAUGCUCAGCUCUGGUCAGAACUGUCCUAUUCUCCAAAGGAAUUGCAAAGCUAAUGUGUGCCAGCAGGAGCUGAAGGAACACAGGUGACGCUGGUUCUUCACAGUGUGGUGGCGGUGGAGCAUAACGCUAGAUGGGUGGCUGGAGAAGAAUUCAUUGGCACAGGGGCAGUCAUCUGUGAUUUAAAACUCGAUGCUUUGGCAAGGACACCAGGAACUGAUUCCAAUCAUUUGUUGGGCUGACUCCAGUGGUGUGCUAGUUAAUGUGUAACAAUUGGC